AGUGAACGCUGGCGGCAGGCCUAAUACAUGCAAGUCGAACGGCAGCACAGCAGAGCUUGCUCUGUGGGUGGCGAGUGGCGGACGGGUGAGGAAUACAUGGGAAUCUGCCCAGUCGUGGGGGAUAACGUAUGGAAACGUACGCUAAUACCGCAUGCGCCCUACGGGGGAAAGUCGGGGACCGCAAGGCCUGACGCGAUUGGAUGAGCCCAUGUUCGAUUAGCUAGUUGGCGGGGUAAAGGCCCACCAAGGCGACGAUCGAUAGCUGGUCUGAGAGGAUGAUCAGCCACACUGGAACUGAGACACGGUCCAGACUCCUACGGGAGGCAGCAGUAGGGGAAUAUUGGACAAUGGGGGCAACCCUGAUCCAGCCAUGCCGCGUGAGUGAAGAAGGCCCUCGGGUUGUAAAGCUCUUUUGUCCGGAAAGAAAAGCAUCUGGUUAAUACCCGGGUGUUCUGACGGUACC
rnacentral:rRNA from 1 species